UUUAAUUAUUCGCAAGAAGAAUAUGUUCAAAAGACAAAUCUGGGGUCUGAUCCCUUGACAUUAAAGGAUAAACAGAAGCAAGAGGCAAGCAUGUUGUUCAAGAAACUUAGCUUAGCUUAAAGCUGGAUGCUCUUUCUCAUUUCCACUUUGCUCCCAAACCUCUUAUGGAGGACAUGUCUAUAAAUGUAAAUGUCCCUAUUCUAGCAAUGGAAGAGGUAAGGAGUCUGCCCAUCUUCACUUCAACAUUUAAUUUGCUCCUUAUUUAGCAAGCAAGUAAUACAUGUGGGCAUGUCUUCCAUGGGUCUCGGAUGCCGCUAUGCUGGCUCCUGAGGAAGUGUUUAGUGGCAAAGGUGACAUUAAAGAAGAAGCUGAACUUACACAGGCAGAGAGAAAGAGGAGGAGAGCUAAAUAGAAAAGGGAAUUUAAAGGAACACCCUUGCUGUACAGGAAUUCCUCUCAUAGCUCAACCAUGAAGAAAAAUCACUAGAUAGCAAAUCUUUGGACCAAAGAAACGUACCAGUAGAUCCCAUAUCUCUCAUUUCUCCAUUGUUUCUACUGAUGAUGUUCUCAUUUUCUCCAAUCAAUUGAUGAACAUUGGAAACA